rnacentral:rRNA from 1 species
GACGAACGCUGGCGGCGUGCUUAACACAUGCAAGUCGAACGGAAAGGCCCUGCUUUUGUGGGGUGCUCGAGUGGCGAACGGGUGAGUAACACGUGAGUAACCUGCCCUUGACUUUGGGAUAACUUCAGGAAACUGGGGCUAAUACCGGAUAGGAGCUCCUGCUGCAUGGUGGGGGUUGGAAAGUUUCGGCGGUUGGGGAUGGACUCGCGGCUUAUCAGCUUGUUGGUGGGGUAGUGGCUUACCAAGGCUUUGACGGGUAGCCGGCCUGAGAGGGUGACCGGCCACAUUGGGACUGAGAUACGGCCCAGACUCCUACGGGAGGCAGCAGUAGGGAAUAUUGCACAAUGGGCGGAAGCCUGAUGCAGCAACGCCGCGUGCGGGAUGACGGCAUUCGGGUUGUAAACCGCUUUCGCCUGUGACGAAGCGUGAGUGACGGUAAUGGGUAAAGAAGCACCGGCUGACUACGUG